rnacentral:rRNA from 1 species
AUUGAACGCUGGCGGCAUGCUUUACACAUGCAAGUCGAACGGUAACAGGCCGCAAGGUGCUGACGAGUGGCGAACGGGUGAGUAAUGCAUCGGAACGUGCCCAGUCGUGGGGGAUAACUACUCGAAAGAGUAGCUAAUACCGCAUACGAUCUAUGGAUGAAAGCGGGGGACCGUAAGGCCUCGCGCGAUUGGAGCGGCCGAUGUCAGAUUAGGUAGUUGGUGGGGUAAGGGCUCACCAAGCCAACGAUCUGUAGCUGGUCUGAGAGGACGACCAGCCACACUGGGACUGAGACACGGCCCAGACUCCUACGGGAGGCAGCAGUGGGGAAUUUUGGACAAUGGGCGCAAGCCUGAUCCAGCAAUGCCGCGUGCAGGAAGAAGGCCUUCGGGUUGUAAACUGCUUUUGUACGGAACGAAACGGCUCUGGUUAAUACCCGGGGCUAAUGACGGUAUCGUAAGAAUAAGCACCGGCUAACUACGUG